GGUGGAUGACUAGGCUCAAGAGCCGAAGAAGGUCGUGACAAGCUACGAUAUUUUCAGGGUAGAGGCAAGUACUCUUUGAUCCUGAAGUCACUGAAUCCGUCCUCGGUUUAUAUUCGUAAGAAUAGGGAACGCAGGGAAGUGAAACAUCUCAGUACCUGCAGGAGAAGAAAUCAAUUGAGAUUCCGCAAGUAAAGGCGAUUGAACACGGAAAAGAGCAAACUGAAUUCUUGGCAGCAAUGUCAGGAAAAUGUGGUGUGCAGACUGCCUUUAAGGUCUUUUUGGGAAGCUGAAGUCCCCUGGAAAGAGGCACUAUAGAGUGUGAUAGUCACGUAAGCGUAACUGGAAAGAUCCCCGGCAGUAUCUCGAGUAGGGUCCACUGGAUACUGGACCUGAAUAGGAGGCAUCAACUUCUAACUCUAAAUACUCCUUGAGUCCGAUAGCGUACUAGUACCGUGAGGGAAAGUUGAAAAGAACCCUUGACAGGAAGUUCAAAGACCCUGAAACCUAAUAGCUAUAGUGUGUCACUGCUUUUCGAAGUUGUGACGUGCGUUUCGAAUAACGUGCCAGGGAGUUUAUCUGAGUGGCGAGACGGAAGUCUAAGCGAAAGCAAAAGUCCGCAGCUUGCCAGGGACAAGGUAUGAUAAGUGCCUCAUAGUCACUUGGAUAUGACCCGAAGCCGGGCGAUCUAACCCUGAGUAAGGUGAAGCGGCCUUAACCGGUCGUGGAGGCCUGUAGAGGUGCUACGUGCAAGUGCUCUCUUAACUCGGGGCUAGGGGUGAAAAGCCAAUCGAGCCCGGGAAUAGCUGGUUCCUAUCGAAAUUGGCCGUAGUCAAGUUUGGAUUGAGAUGAUAAAGACAGUAGAGCUACGGAUUGGGGAUUUAGGGGGAGAAAUCCCUCGGUUUCUCGACCAACUCCAAACGUCUUUAUAUCGCAGAAAUCUAAAAACGGCGGCUCGUCGUAAGGGUGAGUCGCGAGAGGGGAACAACCCAAACUAUAGUUAAGGUCCCAAAAUAUUGUCUAAGUGUCAAAGGGUGAAAGGUGUCCAUUGUCACAGACAGCGAGGAGGUUGGCUUAGAAGCAGCCACCCUUUAAAAAGUGCGUAACAGCUUACUUGUCAAGAUGAUGGGUCCUGAAAAUGGACGGGGCUAAGGCAAUUACCGAUACUAUAGAGCGAAAGUUUGGUAGGUAGGCGUUCUGCAUGGACAGAAGUAUUUUCGGGAGAAAAUAUGGACCGUGUAGAAAUGAAAAUCCUGGCGAUAGUAAGAAAAAAGUAGAGUUAGAAUCUCUACCACCGAAAGGGCAAGGGUUCCUUGACAAUGGAAAUCAGUCAAGGGUUAGUCGGCUCUAACCAAGUCCUUAACUGGACAAUGGGAAAGAGAAACAGGUUAAUAUUCCUGUACUGUUUGAGUAUUAGCGGCAACGCAAGCCUUAUUUCUGACAUCUUGGAGUAGGCUGACAUUGCUUGUCUGCAAUGUUAAUCAGAAUAAAUCAGGGGAGUAUCAUAAUGAUGAGAUCCUGAUUAAAUCAGAGAACAGCAUCUCUUGGGAUGUUCAGCUCAUCUCUGGGAUCCAUGAAAAAGGAAUAAGGAGAAAUCUCAGAUAGCCGUACCCAGAUCCAGCACUGGUGCCCCUAGGUAAGAAGCCUAAGGUGCUCAAGGAUAAUCUAACUAAGGGAAUUCGGCAAAUUGGCCCCGUGCCUUCGGCAUAAGGGGUCCCUGCGUUUGUGCAAGCGAUUGCAGGGUGCAAUAACAAAGGAGGUCCGACUGUUUAACAAAAACUUAACUGACUGCCAGCCUGAAAAGGUGUGUAUAGUCAGUGACGUCUGCCCAGUGCGCGUACUUUAAACUCCUAUUCAAGGGAGCUAAGAGCGCGUAAACGGCGGGGGUAACUAUAACUCUCUUAAGGUAGCGAAAUGCCUUGCCGUUUGAUUGACGGCCUGCAUGAAUGGCGUAACGAGAUCUCCACUGUCCCUAGUUAGAACCUUCCGAACAAAUUUACUGGUGCAAAGGCCAGUGAUCUCCAGUGGGAAGCGAAGACCCCGUGAAACUUUACUGUAGCUUGUUGUUGUGAUGCGAACCUCGAUGCAGAGCGUAGGUAGGAGUCGCAAAAGCUUAAGUUCCGGCUUGAGUGUAGACAACCAUGUAACACUACCCUUCGAGAUUCGCAUUGCUGACCUCGAAAGAGGGACAUCGGCAGGUGGACAGUUUGGCUGGGGUGGCACCCCGUCGAAAAGAUACGGGAAAUCAGAGGUUUUGGAAUAAAGUCUCGUGAUACUCGACUUUAUAUCGACGGGGCCCAACGGUUGGCUCAUCUGGGUCAGAAAUCCAGAGUAGAGUGCAAGAGCAAAAGUCAGCCUGACUGGAUUUAUACUAAGAUUAAAUCCAGGUACGAAAGUGUGGUCUAGCGAACCUCUAAGUCCUCCUUGAUGGGGGCUAGAGAUGACCAAAAAGUUACUCCGGGGAUAACAGAGUUGUCGCGCCCGAGAGCUCAUAUCGACGGCGCGGCUUGCUACAUCGAUGUCGGCUCUUCCUAUCCUGGGCAUGCAGAAACAUGAUGCCUUCUGCAAUUAUGCUGAAGACGUUAGUCUGUAGGUGUCCAAGGGUGGGGGUGUUCACCCAUCAAAAGGGAUCGUGAGCUGGGUUCAGUACGCUGCGAGGCAGUAUGUUUGAUAUCUACUGGAGAUGUCUGGUAUCUGAGAGGAAGGAUCCUCUAGUACGAGAGGAACGAGGGUUCGGCGCCUCUGGUCCGCCUGUUAUCUGACAAGGUAUGCAGGGCAGCUACGCGCCAAGGGAUAAGUGCUGAAAGCAUCUAAGUACGAAGCCCGCCUCGAAAAGAGAUACCCUAGAACCCUCCUAAAACAGGAGUUUGAUAGAGCUGGUGUGUAAGUGCCAAGCUUCGGCGAGGUAUUCAGCAUGCAGCUACUAAAAG
rnacentral:rRNA from 1 species